UGCUGGGCCUGAACUUGUGCUGUUUC
rnacentral:piRNA from 1 species